AUGAAUUUUCCCUCAUUGUAUUUGUGUCUGCAACCUUAUCUUCAACACAAACCCCGUUUCUCUCUCCAUCAUAUUUUGUAAAGAACCUAAUAUGACACACACAUAAAACACAGACAUAGAACCUUAUCACCAUCAACAUUCUUACAAACCCUAACUCAGAGACAAGUAGCCGCACCCUCUAACUUCUCUCUAACUCCGGUGAACAUCUAUGCCAGAGCACGUCGGAGCCGGAUUCCGACCGGUUUUCCGACCGUCGCACCCCCACCACUUCUCUUUAUCUUCUUCAUACACACAACACCCUGUUUUACCCCCCCCCCCCCUCGUCGACAAAAAGGACCACCACCACCGUGCGGUGGUGGUGAGCGACGGCAGUGGAACCAGAAGACAGAGAUGAGAGAGAGACUAGAGUGAGAGAGAGGAGAACCAGAAUCAGAGUGGAACGGCAAUGAACCACCGUCUGCGGCGGAGCCGCGGCGGCGGCGGCGGUGCUUUCGUCCUCCAACAGAUUUUCCGUGUUGAAGAUGAUGAUGUUGGUUUGGGUUUUCAUGGAGUCUCAGGUCAAAUCCAAAAGGUUCAGUCUCGACUCAGUCCAACUCGGCUUGAAUCAGUCCAACUCGGCUCGACUCUGUUCUACACGGAUCGACUCGGUCCAACUCGGCUCGACUCGGUUCAUCACGCCUCAACUCAGUCAACAUGAGUUGACCCGGUCAACUCAGUCAAGCGGCUCGACUCGCUUCAUCAUGCCUCAACUCAGUCAACAUGAGUUAACCCGGUCAACUCAGUCAAGCGGCUCGAUAUUUCGACGCAAAGACUUGGUAAAAAAAUGAACGUCACGUUUAUUUUGUCAUUUUUCAUAGUGUUAACCUUACGUGACGACGAGCUCGAAUCGAUUAAAUAUUAGUUCACAUCUUGAAAAUAUUCGACAAAUCUUAUGUAAAUAUUGUUAUUAUUGUUUGAUAAA